GACGAACGCUGGCGGCGUGCUUAACACAUGCAAGUCGAGCGGUAAGGCCCUUUCGGGGGUACACGAGCGGCGAACGGGUGAGUAACACGUGGGUGACCUGCCCUUAGCUCUGGGAUAAGCCUGGGAAACUGGGUCUAAUACCGGAUAUGACUCCAUGACGCAUGUUGUGGGGUGGAAAGCCUUGUGCGGCUAGGGAUGGGCCCGCGGCCUAUCAGCUUGUUGGUGGGGUGAUGGCCUACCAAGGCGACGACGGUAGCCGGCCUGAGAGGGCGACCGGCCACACUGGGACUGAGACACGGCCCAGACUCCUACGGGAGGCAGCAGUGGGGAAUCUUGCGCAAUGGGCGAAAGCCUGACGCAGCGACGCCGCGUGAGGGAUGACGGCCU
rnacentral:rRNA from 1 species